UAUAACCAUGAGACCGAUAGUAAACAAGUACCGUGAGGGAAAGUUGAAAAGAACUCUGAAUAGAGAGUUAAAUAGUACGUGAAACUGCUUAGAGGUUAAGCCCGAUGAACCUGAAUAUCCAAUAUAGAAAAUUCAUCAUUAUGACUCUAAUAUUUUUAAAUAUUAUAAUAAUAGUGUGCAUUUUUUCUAUAGAGGACAUUGUAAUCUAUUGAUAUAAAAGAAAUUUAUUAUAAGAUCGAUUGCGCAAGUUU
rnacentral:rRNA from 1 species